AAUUCAUCCCAUCUAUAAUGCAUUGAAUUAAUACAACUCCCAAAUUUGUGGAGUGUUAUAUAAUGGAAUUCUAUUUUAUUCCAAAGUAAAUAAAAUAAUAAUGGUGAGGGGGAGAAAGGACUUGAAAAAGCCUCACACGGAGAAAUAGAAAGUCAGUUGAAGAAAUCAAUGAUUUGGAUUGUCCAAGUAAAAGGAAAGUAAUUAUACCAAAACAACUGUGUUCAGGAGAAGUCUGGAACUGUCUAUUAAACUGACAAAGAGCAGAAAAUAUGUCAGGUAUUUUAAAUGAUGACAGCAAACUAAUGGGAAAGUCAAAGGCAAUGAUCAACAUAACUGUCCACCUUUUGAUUUAGAGAUGUGAGAGAUGGUAAUGUAUGCCCAUGGUAUUUUUGUUUCAUUGGAAGUCUCAUCCAAUGGAAUCAGUGAUUUAAAUUUAAGACAUUGACAUAGAUAAUCAUGAAAAUAAUGAUUUGUUUCAAAUAUGUCUCACAAGGAAAUUCAAGGUCAAAAGUGAUUCAAAGAUUAGGAAGUCUGAAAAAAAAGGCAGACUGAAGAAACCAUGCAGGAUGAAGGAGUCAAUAGAUAUCUCUGUGGAGAGGACUUUUCUAUAAUAGCCCUAUUUUAUCAGCAUUAUGCUUAAGAAAAUUAGCCAACAUCCAAACAUUAGUAUCAGAAAAACAAUCAGGCGAUGCAGCAGAAGCCAUUGUGGUAUUUACAAGGACCUAUAAAUAUCCCCAAGUGCUAUUAGUAUGACAGCAUAGGUGAUGAGCACAGGUUAUUCUGACAAAGAGACGCACAUUCCAGAUACGCAGAGUUGGUUCCAGAAUAUAUCAUCAAGGGAUACCAGAUGACAUUGGAGACAUGGGUCUCAAAACAAUAGAGAGCAAGUCAUAAGGAAGAUGAAGUACAAUUAAAGCGAAUGGCCAAAGGUGCCAGAGGGCACAGAGGGGCUCACCAGGGCUAGGGGAAGAAAGGAAGACAACAUUGCUUUAGAGAUGUGCGUAGGUCACUGCAGACAAUGCAAGGACACAGAGAGGAACCAGACAAAUUAUGAUGCAUAGUAAAUCAAUUCCGAGUUAUGCAAUAAUGGAGACAAAGUGCCUGAAACAAGAUUUAUAAUUGUCAGCAAUGCUAACAACAAACUGUAGCAACUGUCAGGGCUUUGUCCUAAGGGAAACAAGAAUUUACAAAUAUAGGUUAAACCAAGUCAGAAUAAAAAAACAGCAACCACAGUUACAUUUACUUCAAUAAAUUAUACCAAAUGCCAACUAGGUACCAGGAACUGGGCUGGGAAUUAGAGUUACAUAGGAGACCCUGAGAAGCAUGCAUGUAGUCAGGGAGAGGGAUUGUGAAAAUAUCUAAUUGUUAUCCAAUAACAAUUUACAAGCAAUUGUGUGCAGUAGGUACAGAGCACAGUCAUGUUAUCAUGGAAGGUUACAGCCAGGGAAUUUUUCCAUAAAUGCCUGAUGUAUUAAAAGAUGUUUACAGAAAGUCAAGGUGAAGCGGCAUGCCAAGGGAAGAUGAAGCACAGAGGAAGAGGGCUGCGCUGUGUUCAGUGUCCCGGCCUUGCUUAGUUGGUGAAGGAAAAAGUCCUAAGAGGUAGGAGGGAGGUAGGAGACAAGAUGGGGGAAAUAGAUCCCAUCAAACUUGGGUGACCUUGUGUAUCAAGCAGGAAAGAGGGACUUCAUUUUUAGGCAAUAGACUCACUGAAGGGUUGAAAUAGGGAAGCAUUUCAGCUCUGGGUUUCAGACGGAUCAUGCUGAUGGCAAUGCACAGGGGAGGCUGGGAGGAAGCACAUCUCUGAAGUUAGCAAGACACAUCGGGAGCCUUUCUGUCUCCAGAUGGAGAUGUUCGGGCUCUGAAGUAAAAGAUAUUUCUGGAGUUCCACUCUUGACAUUAUAAUAAGAAGAGCUACAAAUUAUUAAUCCCUUUCUAGAUGCCAACUGCUUUACCCAAAUCAUCUCAUUGCUUCCUCAUAAUGUCAGAUGAGUUGGAUACCAUCGUGUCUGUAUAACAGAUGUGAACUUCUGUCUGCAGCUCAGAAGGUAAACAACUUGCCAGCUCCAGGAACACUUCUGACUGCAGUAUCUGCACUGAGUCAAGAGAAACUGCAUCUGCAGGACCUAGAGAAGCACCCGCGCUCUGUGCCCCGCCGCCUGCUCCCUGCUGCCGCGCUGCUUUCGGAGAAUCCCUUCCCUGAAUGGCGGCGGACUCCCAGAAAUGCCUGGAGAAACCAUUUUCCGUCUACCUCACAGAGCAGCAAGAAUUAAUGUCCUUAUUAACCACAUGCCAGUGAUUACUGCGAUACCAUGUUAAAAGCAUGGCACUGGAAAUCAGAAAAGCAGUGUUUUCAGUUCUGUUACUCAUUCCUGCUUGCAUGUUAAAAUCCUUUAGAAAACUCUAAAAAGAAAUAGCCCUGGGCCACCUCUAGAGACUAAUUCAGUUCAUCUAAGGUGAGUCCUGAGCAUGGCCAUCAUUUAAAUAUGUAUACAUGAAAGCAUUUUGUAAAGUAUAUAUCACUAAAUAAGUAUUUUAUUAUUAUAAUUACUAAUUCAAAAUACGUAUUGAAAGAUAAUGUGUUGACUUAUCAACUCCUGUUUCUUUCUUUAACCUAUUGCCAUUUUCCUCUCCACUGCAACAAAUUAGUAAGGACGUGUGUCUCCUUGCUCUGUGUGUGUGUGUGUGCGUGCAGGCGUGCGCACACACACCCUUACGCAUGGCACGAAACAGAAGUUUCCAGGAAUUCAGAAGCCUCUCCCAUCCAGGCUACUUGGAAAAGGCUCAACUCAUAGGGGAGGAGGAAGAUAGAACUAUGUUGUGGAGGCUUUGAAGUCAGGUGUCCGGAUUCAGGAAGAAGGGAGUUGUGCUUAGAGGGGGCAAAGUGGAGAAGCAAUUCCUCCCGCGUCUGUCUGUUAUUGUCUGGGAGCUGCAGUGCUGGUCUGCUCCUGGUCCGCUGCUGCCCGCCUGUAAGGAAGAGGCCCAGCCUGUGGGCUGGAGGCUGCAAGAAUCCAAGUCUGAGAAUUACAGUCGUGGGUGCUUGCUCAGCUGGUCAGUGGGGCAACAGAAUGCACUGCCUCAAGGUCCGUGCCCACUUAAUUGUGAUUUUAGGAUUCAAUAUUCUAUGAGUUGAGGGGCUCUUGGAGAUUUAUCUGAAUUGGAGAAAUGAAUGAUAGGAUUUUUUAAACUACACAACUCUGAUAUUGCACAAUAACAAUUCAGAGCUGAUACUCAUUUAGCAAGUUUACACAGACCUGUUAUGUAUCAAGUAGCUACUAUAUUAGUUUCUAGGGAUAUCCUUCAAACUCAACAGUUAGGGACAAUCGUGACAAAAAUAGUCAUAACAUGAAUAUAUUUGUCCUCCCCAUCAGCAAGGGUAGGGCUCAAAUGAAAUAGUAUGUUUGAAGGAAAAAUGCAUAAUGUCAUCAGAGUGAAUAAGUAGCCAUGGUUGUGACAGUCAGAUGGAGACACAAGAGCUGGGCAGAAUCCAAUUCAAUAACUUAAUAGCUGUAAGAUGAGUAUGAAAAAAAAAUCAGAAUGAAACUAAACAGCAAUUGCCUUCAUUGAUUCUAAACGAGGGGUAAAAUAGCCCAAGUGGAAGUUGCAGGCUCAAAUUAGAGCUCUGAAUCAGGGGAGCUGAAGACAAAUCAAAGUGCAAUCCAACCCACUUGUAGUGUUUGGACUUGGGGCCCAGUUUGACCUAGAGACAAUCAACGAAAUUCAGUCUGUCUUUCAUGGUUUUGAGAAAAACUGCCCUGGAUUUCCACUCCGGAUCUCAUACCCCCGCCAAAAUUUCUGAAUGCACAAACUCAGCUCAUUAAUGAUGCAACCUGAAUUACUUGGGAUAAAAAAAUUGUUUCCGUAAAGGAUAAAUAGGUGACUAUAAAUAACCCAGGAGGCUUAAAAUUAGGUAUAUUGAUGGCAUAAAUAGUAUGAAGACUUUCGUGUUGAGAAUAAUAAUCUGUAGAUAUAUAUAUUUUUUGGAGAUGGAGUCUUAUUCUGUCACCCAGGCUGGAGUGCAGUGGUGCGAUGUCAGCUCACUGCAACCUCCACCUCCUGAGUUUAAGCAAUUCUUGAGUCUCAGCCUCUCAAGUAGCUGGGACUACAGGCACGAGCCACCACACCUGGCUAAUUUUUUGUAUUUUUAGUAGAGACAAGGUUUUGCCAUGUUGACCAGGCCAGCCUCGAACUCCCGACCUCAAGUGAUCUGCCCGCCUUGGCCUCCCAAAGUGCUAGGAUUACAGGUGUGAGCCACCUCGCCCGGCCUUAUUUGGUAUUUUAAAUAAUGAUAAUGUUUAAAAGGAUUUUGCAUCCUAGAGAAUCUAAAAGAUUCGCCUUGGGAUUACACUUUUAAAAGUGUAAAUGAGGAAUUGGCUUAGAUUUGUAAUUUUAGGUUGAAAGUUAAAAGAAAUUUUACGAAGUUUGUAAAUAACAUUCAAAUAUUUAAAACCAGCUAAAAUCACCGUAUUUUCUGAAAUAAUUAUUGAAUUUGUCUAUUUUUAUUGUAGUAUCUUUGAUGUCUUUAGCCCAUAAUGUAUAAAAAAUAUUUGGCAUUAAGGGGGAAAAAAAAACAAAACAUUUCCAAAAUCAGAUGGGAAUAGCCAUAUCCCUUCUCUAAGUAAUUUUUACUGCUCUUUUCUAAACUCUUCUAAAGUUUUAGGCCCAAAAUGGAACUUAAGAAAUGCCAUUUAGACUAAUUAUCUAACCAUAUACGUGAAGAAACAGAGACUCAGAGAAGCUGAGAUAUUGCUUAAACCACAGCACUAUUUAGGGCAAAACCAACAAGAAGUUUCAUGACCCCCCAGUCCAUUGUCGUCUGAACUGGAUUAUCGGCUUUACUUAUUGCUUAGUGAUGAUAUAUGUUCCGGGGGAGCUUAUGAUCUGACCUUCAUCUGAACACAAUAGACUGCUUCUGAUUUUUCCAGCCAAAGAGAAAGUAUUUGGGUUUUGAGCAUCUUUUUAACUGAGAACAUUCCUCUUCCUGGCUAUGAAAACCUUCCCCUGUGUAUGUAGUAGGAAGACUGCUACACUAACCAGACUUCACCCAUUGCUUUCCAAAAACCAAUGUGAAAAGGCUAUUGAACUGAGCAGUGUAUUGUUUUGUCUGCAGCUUACCCAACAUGCAAAAAUACAGACUUUCUCAGUGUGCAUUGUUCUGUGUUCAGUUUCACAACUGUAAAGAAUAACUUAUUCCAUGUAAGAUUUUGUGUUGUGCCUAAAACACGAAAUAAUCCCCCUAGGAUCUACUAGAAAAGUAUCUUAUGCUAUAAGAACACUGAUCAUUUCUGCUACAAGCAAACAUAGAGGUUGUGUUCUAAAGUGUUAAUCUUCCUCUGGGGGUGGCUAGAGAACAGCUUACCAAGGGGGAGAAAUCUGGCUCAUGUCGACAAAGCUCUCACAGCUCUUCAGAAGAGAAGUAUUGUGUAAGUGCAAAGCUAUUAUUAUAUAAAAGCAUUCAGAGGAUAAUAUUAGCCAUAAUUGUAUUAAAUAUUAAUAUUAAUGCAAAUGGUGGCUAAGAGCUUAAAGAAGAGCUUAUAAACUGUAACAGUCAAUAACAAUGGAGUAAAGGUAUAUAAAAUUUGUAUAUUGUCAACCAUGCACACCAGACAAACCCAAUAAACUGAAAACUAAUAAGUUGCUAAAA